UACCGAGGCUGCAAGCGUUAUUCGGAUUCACUGGGCGUAAAGGGUGCGCAGGUGGCCAAGUGUGUUAGGCGUGAAAGCCCGGGGCUUAACCCCGGAAUUGCACCUAAAACUACUUGGCUAGAGCAUUGGAGAGGGGAGCAGAAUUCAUGGUGUAGCAGUGAAAUGCGUAGAUAUCAUGAGGAAUACCAGAGGCGAAGGCGGCUCCCUGGACAAUUGCUGACACUCAGGCACGAAAGCGUGGGGAGCAAAGGG
rnacentral:rRNA from 1 species